UACGUAGGGGGCUAGCGUUGUCCGGAAUCAUUGGGCGUAAAGCGCGUGUAGGCGGUCCGGUAAGUCCGCUGUGAAAGUCGGGGGCUCAACCCUCGGAUGCCGGUGGAUACUGUCGGGCUUGAGUACGGAAGAGGCGAGUGGAAUUCCUGGUGUAGCGGUGAAAUGCGCAGAUAUCAAGGAAGAACACCCGUGGCUAAGGCGGCUCUCUAGUACGGUACUGACGCUGAGACGCGAAAGCGUGGGGAGCGAACAGG
rnacentral:rRNA from 1 species